UACGUAGGUGGCAAGCGUUGUCCGGAUUUACUGGGCGUAAAGAGCGCGCAGGCGGUCGUUCAAGUCGCGUGUGAAAGCCCCCGGCUCAACUGGGGAGGGUCACGCGAUACUGAUCGACUCGAAAGGCAGGAGAGGGUAGUGGAAUUCCCGGUGUAGUGGUGAAAUGCGUAGAUAUCGGGAGGAACACCAGUGGCGAAGGCGACUACCUGGCCUGUUCUUGACGCUGAGGCGCGAAAGCUAGGGGAGCAACGGG
rnacentral:rRNA from 1 species